GUCUACAGCCAUGCCACCCUGAACAAGCCCAAUGUCUGAUCUCAGAAGCUAAGCAGAGUUGGGCCUGGUUAGAGACCACCUAGGAAGACCAGGUGCUGCAGGCA
rnacentral:rRNA from 1 species